rnacentral:lncRNA from 1 species
UCUUCUCUCUCUUCUAUUAAUAUUUAUAGUCACAAAAUAUUUAUACAUAUUUUAAAUGAUAUUGUAGUAAUCAUGGUGCCUUUGGAUAUAUCGUUUCAUUAUUCUCGUUGCAAGAUUAAGAGAUGUUUUUGGACAUCGAAGAACUAGAUGGAUGAAUUAUUGUUUUCCUUAAUCCAAGUUAUGGAAUAUGCAAUGAUUUCUAUAUAACCUUCUUUCAUAUGUACGAGGUCGUGUUUAAGAAAACCGGCUCCAAUUGCUCUUCACUGAUUUUGAAGUCACUGUGCUACAACACCUGUAACAAUUACACCCUUUUAACUUCAUUCGAACUCUUAGACUUACAUAUAUAUGUUUUUUUAUGUAAUAUCAAACAUCCAUUUAUUCUUAAUUUAGCUUGUUAUGGGACUCCAUUAAUCCAAGUAACCCACGAGGUUGGGUAUCAUUUCGAAGUCUUUUAUUGACUCCUUGAAACGUUUUAAAGAUAUAUAUUAUGUCAUUUGUAUGAAGUCGGAUAGGGCUUUGGUAUCCAUUUCCCUCUAGUGCAUUAAUUUUUUUAUAGCAAAUGUUUUAAGAGAAAGAGAUUGUAAAAUCUGUUGAUGUCAUUAAGUGAUUCACACCGUGAUUUGUGGAUCAACCUUUGAUCUGGAUAAUAAGGUAUUUGAUUGAGGACAAGUAGAGAGAGAAAUCAUGUAUUGGUGGUGAAACUUACAUUAAUUAUGUGUACCACUAUUUUAGUAUUCAUUAUAAAAAAAAUUAUAGAUUUUUAGCCUCCAAAA